GUGAUUUCUGUAGUCUGAGUCUAUUUUUAGCAUUAUCUUUGCCUAAGAGCAAAUUUGAGAGUAUGUAGAAGUGGCAAGGCACUGGUGAGGAGUGGGGUGUGGGGUGGCACACAGAUGGAGCAUGAACCAAGCAGGGAAAGUUGUGCACAGCAACGGCACUGACCCAGGAAUCUCUUGCUGAGCACAGAGAGGGCAUCUUGUCUGCAUGGGAGUUGUAUGUGGCUGCCGAGCAACCAAAGCAAGGAGAGGAAGGAGGUAAGGGGUUCCUGAAAUAGAUUUGAUUUUCACAAUUUGGUUUAAAUCUGACCCUUGUCCUCCUAGAAAGUAGAAGAUACGAUAAAGAUUUUGGCUUUGGGGACCAGCUCUCGGGAAGAAAGGACUGCAGGAUGGAGGAGGGUUUUGACUUGCCCUGGUGUGUGUGUGUAAACUGGGAUCCGGAGUUUGACAGCAGAGGAGAGACUUCUGGUGUGAAGAGCAGAGCGAUCCUGAUCUUACAGUUCUCAAAGAGCAAGCAAAUGUCCUCUUUCCAAGCCUCACAUUUAGACUGACUGCUGGCAGAUAGAAAACUUCUUGAAGGAGGCCUCGGCUUUGAAGGUUUGUUGUAAGACCGUAACACCUAACUCAGGGGUGGAAGUGGGUGCUCUGCCUUAGCCUUCCCAUGGUUACACCAAGAGGAUCUGGACGACCACUGCUCCUGAGAGGCCAAUGUUUCUACUUCGUGGCUUUAACCAGUGUGCUCUGGCUGCCAUCUGCACAGACCCGAGAGUCUUUUCUUCCACAGAGGUUUCACCUUCAACUGCCUACAGCAUUUGGUCUCUUCUGGAGGAAUUUAAGAGGUAUCUCUUAUUUUUAUAAUAAUAAUAUUAUUACAGGGAAUUCCCCUCACGGUGCAGUGGAAAUGAAUCUGACUAGGAACCAUGAGGUUACGGGUUUGAUCCCUGGCCUCGCUCAGUGGGUUAAGGAUCUGGCGUUGCCGUGAGCUGUGGUGUGGGUCACAGACGUGGCUCAGACCUGGCAUUGCUGGGACUCUGGUGUAGGUUGGAGGCUACAGCUCCAAUUAGACCCCUAGCCUGGGAACCUCCAUAUGCCAUGGAUGUGGCCCUGAAAAGACAAAAAGACAAAAUAAUAAUAAUAGUAAUAAUAAUAUUACACUAUAGUCACUUAUUCAAUGUAGAAGAAAAAGAGUAUUAUUAUACAUGAAAGCCUUUGGAAAUCAGCAACAGCAAGGCUCUGAAGAUCUGAACAGUAAGAAAUGACUCUUAGAAUCCUUUUUCUAACCCACCACUUAGUUGGAUCCCCAUGUACUUUAUUAGUCAACCAUUUGUAACAAUCUGUUCAACAUCUACCUUCCCCGUUAAACUCUAAGCUCUAUGAUGGCAGAGCUUUUAUCUGUCUUAUUCAUUACUGUAUUCCCAGGACCUAGCGGAAUACUAGGAACACAGUGGAUGAUCAGUAUAUGUUUGUUGAUCAAUG
rnacentral:lncRNA from 1 species